CUACGUGGGCAGCUUCGCGUUGUCCUUCUUUAAGGGGGCGUGGCUCACAGAGGCCCACGGAACUCAUUCUACGGAGCGCGACAGGAGACAAACAAGUUGUUCCGCGUGGUCUUUAAGGCACCUGGAGCCUUGUAUCCCGCCGAGCGCCAGUUUUAACCCUUUCCACACCACGUUCUACUUUCCCCUCGCUUCCACAAGACCCAGUCUUCCCAGGCAGCGCAUUUUGUUCCUUCGCUCCUAAGUCACCCUGAGAGACCCCCAUGAUUGUGUCGUUGUGGGUGUGAUCCUCAUCUUUGUCUUCAUGAAACGAGAACCAACACGCUUUCACUAUUCCAGGCUGGAGUGUAACGGCGCGAUCUCGGCUCACUGCAACCUCCGGCUCCCGGUUUCAAGCGAUUCUCCUGCCUCAGCCUCCCGAGUAGCCGGGAUUACAGGCGCCUGCCACCACGCCUGGCUAAUUUUUUGUAUUUUUAGUAAAGACGGGAUUUCACCAUGUCGGCCAGGGUGGUCUCGAACUCCUGACCUCAGGUGAUCCUCCCGCCUCGGCCUCCCAAAGUGCUGGGAUUACAGGCGUGAGCCACUGCUCCCGGCUGCUUUCACUCUUUCUAAGCACUUUCCCUGCGGUGUGUUGGUAAAGGGGGACCCUGCAGCCAGGGGGUCAAUUCUAGUUUCUAAAUAUAGGGGGAGUCGCUUCUGAACGAAGUUUGUUCUGCUUUGUUUGUUUUUUAAGGAUGGAUUGUGCUCGGAAUACACAGUCCCGCGCAAAUCAGAAUUCCUCAGGUGCAUUUUCAACACCUACAAUGUGCCUGACGCAGGGCCAGGACUACAGACAUGAAAUAUCCAGUCUUUGAGGAAUCCAUUUUCUUACGGGAAGCAACAUUUUAAAUUUGGAAGUGAUUGACCAUUCCCCAAUCCCCACUUCCAAAGCAAACGCACGAAACACUACUGAAUAUGAUCAAUACUGCCUUUGUGUUUAAUUUCCUCUCCUGAGUAGUCAGCCGCCAAUCCAGUGAGCAAUUAUUAGGCGCUUGGCACGUGCCAGCGCUGUGAAUCCAGUGAACAGAUACUGUUAGACUGGUGAGUGCAGCGAAAAAAACAAAACUGGAUAACGCGGCCCUUCCAGAACGAAGACAAAAUGAUGACAUUCAGAGCUAAACAAAAACUAACAGAACUAAUCACCAGAAGAUUCAUACUUGAAGAAAUGUUACAGAAAGUUGCUCAUGUUGAAGAAAAAUGAUACCAGAUGGAAAAUUUAGAUGUUCCAGAAGGAAUGAAGAUCACUGAAAAUGGUCAAUAUAUAUAAUCCGUAUGACAACUAAGAAUGAAGGAUGAAGGGAGAAGAGGUGGCUGCUGGGUAAGGCCGUCUCUAUGAGUCUAACAACCUGCAAGGUUCUUACAUUUUACAUGAAGUGCUACAAUAUUAGCCCUAAGUGGACCAGGAGAGUUAAGAAUGUGUGUAUUGUAAUCCCUAAGCAACGACUAAAAAUAGUUGAAAUAUAGCUAAAAUGAUAACAUAUAAAUUGCAAUGGAAUUUCAAAAUAUUUUUUUCCCAAAUAAGCCAAAAUAAGGUUAAAAAAAAAAGAAACAAAUGAAUAAAAAACAGAUGGGAAGAUAUAAGACAAAUAGUAAAAUGGUAGACGUAAACCCAAUCCCAUCAAUACUUACCUUAUAUGUAAGUAGACUAUCUUCUCAAAUUAAUACAUGUUAAUACUGGAGGAGGGGAAGUUUUUGACUUGUUUUAUGAGUGCAGAAUUACUUACUACCAAAGCCUGACAAAAGAAAAUAAAAAGAAAUUACAGAUCAACAUUACUCAUAAGCAUAUACAAAAAAAUCUUUAACAAAAUAUUAGCAAAUUUAUCCAGCAAUAUAUAAAAAAGAGAAUACAUCUUGACCAAGCAAGAUUUAUCUCAAGAAUGCAAGGUUAACAUUAGACAGUUAACAUUAGACAAUUGAUCAGUAUAAUUUAUUAUAUUAACAGAAUAAAGAAGAAAAACCAUGUACAAUAGACACAGAAGUACUAUUGGAUAAAAUUUAACACAAAUUCAUUUUAAAAUUUCUCAACACAUUAGGAAUAGAAGGUAGCAUCCUUAACCUUCUGAAAGGCACAUGUGAAAAAUCUACAGCUAACUUCGUACUUUAUAGUGGAAGACCAAGUGUUUUUCCUGUGAGAUUGGGAACAAAGUGAGGCACUCAUUCCCACCACAUUUAUUCACCAUUUUACUGGGCAUCCUAGUCAGUGCAAUAGAAUAAGUGAAAGAAACAAAAGCGUACAUUUCAAAAAGGAAGAAGUAAAACUCUAUUCACAGAUGGCAUAAUUGUUUAUGUAGAAAAUCUAAUAGAAUCUAUACAACAAUGACUAGAACUAAUGAGGGAAUUUAGCAAGAUUGCAGGAUACCAUAUUCAUACAAAAGUUCAUUUACUUUUAUAUAUAAUCAGCAAAUUGUUGGAAAUUUAAAUGUAAAAAUACCAUUUUUACUAGCUUCUAAAACUAAGGUAUUUUGGAAUAAAUUUAACAUGAGGCAUAUAAUACCUACACCGUGAAAAAUGUGAAAAUGUUAUGAAAGAAAUAUCUUUAUAAUUGGAGAGAUAUUCCGUGUUCAUGGAUUAAAAGCUUAAUAGUGAUUCAAUAUCAGUUCUCCCCAAAUUGAUACAUGGAGUCAAACAAAUACCAGUAAGAAUUCCACCAGGUUGUUUGGAGAAUAUGAGAGCUAAUUGUGACAUUUCUCUAGAAAUUCAAAGUACCAAAAUAUUCAAACCACUCUUGAAAAGAAGAACAUAGUUGGACACUUUUUACUGCCUGACUUCAAACACGUCGGGUCUUGAUAUGCAAUGGAAGCAAGUGAGUGGAAGAAGCCAGCACCACCUAAAACCUCUUCUGGUGAGAGUGGCAGCAUUCUUGAGGAGUGGGGAUGAUAUUCUAACUACAAUGUCUUAUACCUGGCUCCAGUGGUAUUGGCAGCAUGUGCUGGAGAUGUACGUCCAGCAGGGUUGCAGUGCUAUGCAUACUGGACUACUUAGGUGGUGUGACUUUAGGCACUUAGCCUCUAAGUGGUAUGCGUGAUCCUCCUGAUGAUACUAUGUGUUACCUAAUAAUCAAUGAUAAAUUCAUUUUCUGCUUAAAUUAGCCAACGUUGCUUUUUUAAAUUAGCAACAGGGAACCCUGACUGAUAGAAGUGCUAGGAAGAAAAAUAGAAAGGUGAAAGGACAAAGGAUGACUGGGGCUGUAUUUGGAUAAGGGGAUAAGAAUGAAUUUCUUAGCUGGGCACCGUGGCUCACGCCUAUAAUCCCAGCACUUUG